GGCCGUUCCAACAUGCUGUCAAAAUUAAAUCAAUAUGGCUGCUGGAAGUAAAACAUAAAUGUUAUUCUAUAGGUUCUUAAUGUGUUUUAGAUGGUUUUAGAUCAUUUUUGUUGUGUUUCUUUGUAAUUUUGUGUUGUACAAAGAUUAAUUUAACAUUUUCUCUGGAAGUACUAAUUUAGAAAGAUAAUAUGCUUCAUUGGUGUUGUGUUUUGAAGUGUGAAAUGCAAAGUAAUCCUGAUAAAGUCAAGAUAAAGUUCACUUUUAAACUGAACUAAAUACGGUAUCAGCUGAGAGGCAACAAUGGUUAAAUGCAAUACAAUGUAAGGUUUUACUAGCGAAAUGAAAAUUCUCCUGUCCUGUCUGCUGUAAUCAUUUUAUAUCUGGAAAACCAGCCGACUUAAUCGAUAAUAACAAUCCAGAUUGGGUUCCUUCAAUAAAUAUGGGCUAUAAACACAAUGAAAUAAGUUCCCCAAAAUCUAAAAUGAAGUGGUAUCAAAGGAGAAUUAAAAGAAAAAAUAUUCAUAUUGAAAUUAUUUAUAAGGCACUGGACUGUCUUAAAUUCUACAAAUACUAGAAUCAGCUGAGAGAAGUGGUGUACAAAAAAACUAGGAAGGGAAUGGAAUAUGUGGCUACGAAAGGCAAAAGAAAUGAAUACAAAGCAAAUGUGACACAUUUUUUUAAAAAUAUGUAGGAAUAUCAGUAAACUACAUUAAAAAUGUAUGAAAAGAUUUUGUGCAAUAAAAAUGUUUAUAUUUA